GGGAAAGGCGAAAAGAACCCCGGCGAGGGGAGUGAAAAAGAACCUGAAACCGUGUACGUACAAGCAGUGGGAGCACCCUUUGGGGUGUGACUGCGUACCUUUUGUAUAAUGGGUCAGCGACUUAUAUUCUGUAGCAAGGUUAACCGAAUAGGGGAGCCGGAGGGAAACCGAGUCUUAAUUGGGCGUUAAGUUGCAGGGUAUAGACCCGAAACCCGGUGAUCUAGCCAUGGGCAGGUUGAAGGUUGGGUAACACUAACUGGAGGACCGAACCGACUAAUGUUGAAAAAUUAGCGGAUGACCUGUGGCUGGGGGUGAAAGGCCAAUCAAACCGGGAGAUAGCUGGUUCUCCCCGAAAGCUAUUUAGGUAGCGCCUCGUGAAUUCAUCUCCGGGGGUAGAGCACUGUUUCGGCUAGGGGGCCAUCCCGGCUUACCAACCCGAUGCAAACUGCGAAUACCGGAGAAUGUUAUCACGGGAGACACACGGCGGGUGCUAACGUCCGUCGUGAAGAGGGAAACAACCCAGACCGCCAGCUAAGGUCCCAAAGUCAUGGUUAAGUGGGAAACGAUGUGGGAAGGCCCAGACAGCCAGGAUGUUGGCUUAGAAGCAGCCAUCAUUUAAAGAAAGCGUAAUAGCUCACUGGUCGAGUCGGCCUGCGCGGAAGAUGUAACGGGGCUAAACCAUGCACCGAAGCUGCGGCAGCGACGUUUAUGCGUUGUUGGGUAGGGGAGCGUUCUGUAAGCCUG
rnacentral:rRNA from 1 species